rnacentral:tRNA from 1 species
CGGGGCGUAGCUUAGCUUGGUAGAGCGCCUGGUUUGGGACCAGGAGGUCGCAGGUUCGAAUCCUGUCGCCCCGA